rnacentral:rRNA from 1 species
UACAGGGGGGGGCAAGCGUUUGUUCGGAAUUACUGGGCGUAAAGGGCCAGUAGGCGGCCAACUAAGUCCGACGUGAAAUCCCAAAGCUUAACUUUGGAACUGCGUCGGAUACUGGAUGGCUUGAAUUCGGGAGAGGGAUGCAGAAUUCCAGGUGUAGCGGUGAAAUGCGUAGAUAUCGGGGAGGAACACCAGUGGCGAAGGGCGAGUCUCUGGGCUGAUACCGACGCUGAGGCGCGAAAGCCAGGGGAGCAAACGGG